rnacentral:rRNA from 1 species
CAAUAGCGUAUAUUAAAGUUGUUGCAGUUAAAAAGCUCGUAGUUGGAUUUCUGGUGGGAGCGAUCGGUCUGGCGCUUAGCGCGAGUACUUGCAUCGUCUCCGGCCAUCCUUGGGGAGAGUCUGUCUGGCAUUAAGUUGUCGGGCAGAGGAUCCUCAUCGUUUACUGUGAAAAAAUUAGAGUGUUCAAAGCAGGCUUAUGCCGUUGAAUAUAUUAGCAUGGAAUAAUAAGAUAGGACUUUGGUACUAUUUUGUUGGCUUGCGCACCAAAGUAAUGAUUAAUAGGGACAGUUGGGGGUAUUCGUAUUCCGUUGUCAGAGGUGAAAUUCUUGGAUUUACGGAAGACGAACUACUGCGAAAGCAUUUACCAAGGAUGUUUUCAUUAA